GACCACCCCCAGCCCCAGGGCCUUCUCCUUCUGUGGCCCGGGAGUACAGUGCGCCCACCCGCUCCUGCGGAUCUUAAGGGAACACUAGUGGAGUCGGUCCUCGCAGUUCGUGGCUCUUGGGGACCCACCGCGCAAAACAAAACAAAAAAGACCCAAAGACACACCAGCGACACGUGCGUCGCAGGCCCGGCCCGGCCCCGGCCCCGGCCCAGAGCGGCAGCGACUGGUGGAGCGAAGCGAGCGCUCAGUGGGCCUGAGGCCCCCGCGGUGACGUCCCUGCAGCAUCUCAGAGGCCGAGGUCACAGUAUCGACCCUUUUGCGCGCCCCGGAGAGUGAGCCCGUCAGCGAGCCAGGCCAACCUGUCCCCCACCCUCCAGAACACACCUGAGCCGCCCCCUUGGGCCAAACGAGGAGCUCGGAAACAGGACUAACAUCUCUUUCCCCUGGGCCGCCGUCAAGACUAAACGCAAUAGGAUCUGUGGACGUCUAGCCUGCCACGGGCACACAAGAAGCCCAGUACUGGAGACCCUGUUUUUGUUGUCA